rnacentral:misc_RNA from 1 species
GAUGAAGAACGUAGCGAAAUGCGAUAAGUAAUGCGAAUUGCAGAAUUUCCGUGAAUCAUCGAAUCUUUGAACGCACAUUGCGCCCGCCAGUAUUCUGGCGGGCAUGCCUGUUCGAGCGUCAUUACAACCCUCAGGCCCCCGGGCCUGGCGUUGGGGAUCGGCAGAAGCCCCCUGUGGGCACACGCCGUCCCUCAAAUACAGUGGCGGUCCCGCCGCAGCUUCCAUUGCGUAGUAGCUAACACCUCGCAACUGGAGAGCGGCGCGGCCAUGCCGUAAAACACCCAACUUCUGAAUGUUGACCUCGAAUCAGGUAGGAAUACCCGCUGAACUUAAGCAUAUCAAUAAGCGGAGGA